AUUGAACGCUGGCGGCAGGCCUAACACAUGCAAGUCGAGCGAGCGGCGGGAGGGUGAGUAAGGUAUGGGGAAAGCACGAUAGAGGGGGGUAACUACUGGAAAAGGUGGCUAAUACCGCAUAGUGUAGGAUAACCCACAUGGGGUUGGCUAGUAGGUAAGGUAAUGGCUUACUUAGGCGACGAACCCUAGCUGGGCUGAGAGGAUGAGCAGCCACACUGGAACUGAGACACGGCCCAGACUCCUACGGAGGCAGCAGUGGGGAAUAUUGCACAAUGGGCGCAAGCCUGAUGCAGCCAUGCCGCGUGUAUGAAGAAGGCCCUAGGGUUGUAAAGUACUUUCAGUCGGGAGGCGUUACCGACAGAAGAAGCACCGGCUAACUCCGUGCCAGCAGCCGCGGUAAUAC
rnacentral:rRNA from 1 species